AAUAAGAUGCCUGAUUAAAGGGCUAUUUUGAUAGAAUAGAUUAUGUAAAUUUUACUCUUAUUA
rnacentral:tRNA from 1 species